AGGCGCAUUAUUUAAAUCUUAUGUACAACAAGAAUCACUUUGCAUAGCAAUGGCGAGGACACAGGACGGUGCAAUGACAUGUCUGGGUUUUCUUGUCCCAAUGGUGGGGGGCGGGGGCGAGUUCUCGGUGGAGCCUGUGAGGAAGAAAGCACCCUUCCUCGGCCCUCGAGGCCCAUCAGGGUCGUGUGAUGGUGGCAUCGGGGUUGACUUUUCCCACACGGCAUUGAACACAAAGGCAAAGAAAAUCCACAAAGGGUCCCCCCUCCCCAAGGCCCCCACCCCUCCCCCACCCUCUCCCCCGACCCGCUGAUGCUCCUCUGGUUGCUACAAAGUCCUUUUUGGGUCAGGUCAAGGUUUCCAAUUAUGAAGCUAAAAGAAUUAGGCGGGGCUGGGCAAAUCGGAAGAGCACACGU